rnacentral:rRNA from 1 species
UACGGAGGGUGCGAGCGUUGUCCGGAAUCAUGCUGGGCGUAAAGGGCGCGUAGGCGGCGCGAGUAGUCAACGGUGAAAGCCCGGGCUCAACCCGGGUCGGCCGUCGAUACUCUCGUGCUUGAGCAGCUGUAGAGGCAGGUGGAAUUCCGGGUGUAGCGGAUGGAAUGCGUAGAGAUCCGGAAGAACACCGGUGGCGAAGGCGGCCUGCUGGGCAGUAGCUGACGCUGAGGCGCGACAGCGU